AUUUCUUAAUUAUGUAGUUUAAAAAACAUUACAUUUUCAUUGUAAAAUUAAAUAUUUAUUAUUUUAUAA
rnacentral:tRNA from 1 species